UCUAAUAUGGCAGAUUAGUGCAUUGGAUUUAAACCUCAAAAAUAAAGUUUAUACUUUUUUUAGAA
rnacentral:tRNA from 1 species